rnacentral:rRNA from 1 species
CCAAGCAGCCAUACAACCUCAGGCUGUGAUCUUGUCAGAUCUCACAAACUAAGCAGGUUGGCAUUGGUUAGUAAUUGGCUAGAUCUCCAAGGAAAACCCAGGAUACUGCUUUAA